rnacentral:rRNA from 1 species
GAUGAACGCUGGCGGCGUGCCUAAUACAUGCAAGUCGAGCGAACAGAUGAGGAGCUUGCUCCUCUGACGUUAGCGGCGGACGGGUGAGUAACACGUGGAUAACCUACCUAUAAGACUGGGAUAACUUCGGGAAACCGGAGCUAAUACCGGAUAAUAUAUUGAACCGCAUGGUUCAAUAGUGAAAGACGGUUUUGCUGUCACUUAUAGAUGGAUCCGCGCCGCAUUAGCUAGUUGGUAAGGUAACGGCUUACCAAGGCAACGAUGCGUAGCCGACCUGAGAGGGUGAUCGGCCACACUGGAACUGAGACACGGUCCAGACUCCUACGGGAGGCAGCAGUAGGGAAUCUUCCGAAAUGGGCGAAAGCAUGACGGAGCAACGCCGCGUGAGUGAUGAAGGUCUUCGGAUCGUAAAACUCUGUUAUGAGGGAAGAACAAAUGUGUAAGUAAAUAUGCACGUCUUGACGGUAACUAAUAAGAAAGCCACGGCUAACUACGUG